rnacentral:rRNA from 1 species
GACGAUACGGCGUCGAGCGGCGGACGGGUGAGUAAUGCCUAGGAAAUUGCCCUGUUGUGGGGGAUAACCAUUGGAAACGAUGGCUAAUACCGCAUAAUACCUACGGGUCAAAGAGGGGGACCUUCGGGCCUCUCGCGUCAGGAUAUGCCUAGGUGGGAUUAGCUAGUUGGUGAGGUAAUGGCUCACCAAGGCGACGAUCCCUAGCUGGUCUGAGAGGAUGAUCAGCCACACUGGAACUGAGACACGGUCCAGACUCCUACGGGAGGCAGCAGUGGGGAAUAUUGCACAAUGGGCGCAAGCCUGAUGCAGCCAUGCCGCGUGUGUGAAGAAGGCCUUCGGGUUGUAAAGCACUUUCAGUCGUGAGGAAGGUAGUGUAGUUAAUAGCUGCAUUAUUUGACGUUAGCGACAGAAGAAGCACCGGCUAACUCCGUGCCAGCAGCCGCGGUAAUACGGAGGGUGCGAGCGUUAAUCGGAAUUACUGGGCGUAAAGCGCAUGCAGGUGGUUUGUUAAGUCAGAUGUGAAAGCCCGGGGCUCAACCUCGGAAUAGCAUUUGAAACUGGCAGACUAGAGUACUGUAGAGGGGGGUAGAAUUUCAGGUGUAGCGGUGAAAUGCGUAGAGAUCUGAAGGAAUACCGGUGGCGAAGGCGGCCCCCUGGACAGAUACUGACACUCAGAUGCGAAAGCGUGGGGAGCAAACAGGAUUAGAUACCCUGGUAGUCCACGCCGUAAACGAUGUCUACUUGGAGGUUGUGGCCUUGAGCCGUGGCUUUUCGGAGCUAACGCGUUAAGUAGACCGCCUGGGGAGUACGGUCGCAAGAUUAAAACUCAAAUG